GCCAGACUCCUACGGGAGGCAGCAGUGGGGAAUAUUGCACAAUGGGGGAAACCCUGAUGCAGCGACGCCGCGUGAGUGAAGAAGUAUUUCGGUAUGUAAAGCUCUAUCAGCAGGGAAGAAAAUGACGGUACCUGAUUAAGAAGCCCCGGCUAACUACGUGCCAGCAGCCGCGGUAAUACGUAGGGGGCAAGCGUUAUCCGGAUUUACUGGGUGUAAAGGGAGCGUAGACGGUGAUGCAAGUCAGAAGUGAAAGCCCGGGGCUCAACUCCGGGACUGCUUUUGAAACUGUGUGACUGGAGUGCAGGAGAGGUAAGCGGAAUUCCUGGUGUAGCGGUGAAAUGCGUAGAUAUCAGGAGGAACACCAGUGGCGAAGGCGGCUCUCUGGUCUGCAACUGACGCUGAGGCUCGAAAGCAUGGGUAGCGAACAGGAUUAGAUACCCUAGUA
rnacentral:rRNA from 1 species